CCUACGGGGGGCAGCAGUGAGGAAUAUUGGUCAAUGGGCGGGAGCCUGAACCAGCCAAGUCGCGUGAGGGAAGACGGUCCUAUGGAUUGUAAACCUCUUUUGUCGGGGAGCAAAGAGAUCACGUGUGGUCAAAAGCGAGAGUACCCGAAGAAAAAGCAUCGGCUAACUCCGUGCCAGCAGCCGCGGUAAUACGGAGGAUGCGAGCGUUAUCCGGAUUUAUUGGGUUUAAAGGGUGCGCAGGCGGAAGAUCAAGUCAGCGGUAAAAUUGAGAGGCUCAACCUCUUCGAGCCGUUGAAACUGGUUUU
rnacentral:rRNA from 1 species